rnacentral:lncRNA from 1 species
UUGCUGUUUGAAACAGCAGGCUAAGGACCAUACCUGUUUUGUUGUUUUUUUUUCCAUUUGGGAGUUCUGUCUCAUCUCCAGUGAUUAUCAUGCCACUUGUUGCUGUGGAGAAGGUGUUUUUAUAGUUGCUGUUUGAAUUUUGUAAACUUAAAACAUUUUUGUCCUUGAUUGUUAACCAUUUUCUGUACUGUUAGAAUGUUAGAAGCAUGUUUUCUUGAGAAGAACCACAAACAUUUCUAGUGCCCUGGAGGACCAUAGAGCCAUAGAGAUUGACAUCGGAGGACUGACGGGCAUUUCUGGCGUCCUGGAGGACCAAAAGGCCAUCGAGAUGAAUUUCCGGAGGACUGAUGGUCACUUCCGGCGUCCUGGAGGACCGAAAGGCCAUAGAGGUGGACUUCCGGAGGACUGUCCGGCACUUCGGGGGGCCCUGUUCGCGGCAAUAUCCGCUAUCGGAGCGCUAACGUCCGUUCUCGGGACCGGGCGGGGCAGCCGUGCCUGCGGGCGGGCGGCACAGGAACCGCUCUGGCUGCCGGAACGCCCUUUGGGCUGCUUCGUCCUCGAGCCGGCGCUGGCCCGGCCUUGGCGGAACCGACGCAAAGCCCCGCCCGGGGGCGGAGCCGAGGGGUGGGGAAUUAUCAUCGUCCCACUGCGCAUGCGCGGUUCCUCAUCGGCAGUACCGGCCGUCGGCCGCCGGGUGGCAGCAUCCCCUCAGUUAUUCUGCUCUGAGCCUUCAUUAGGGCGAUGAGCAGCGGCUGCUCUCAGCGCUGUUCAGUUCCGACAGGGACUGUAACCACCUUGUGGCACUGGGGGCAUAAUGAAGACAUCCUAUGCACCAAAGAGUAAGGCAAGGGCGCUCUGAAGAGCACAAAAACCCAGAGCCCCAGUUUGCUGGGCGAUGCAAGCGGUUCCCAGAGCGAGAACAAGCAACAGUUUUUCCUGCUGGUGCCUUCUGGGUGGAGGCAAUCUCAGGACAAUUGCUAUUUUUGAGUUCCACCCCAGGGAAACAUCAAGACGUGGUUUGAGGAGGAUGCCACAUAAGCCACUCACCUGCCC